rnacentral:lncRNA from 1 species
UUCGUAUCUUUAUCUAUUACACCUCAAAGGUAUAACAUAAGACAUUACAUAAGCGGGGGGCAUAUAAGCAGUGUUUGAAUACAUUAAUUAGUUUAUAACAAAUAAGUGGUAAGAAGUGAUUUGAGACAGUUGUCAGUUACAGUGGCGAUGAAAGUGGACAGAUCAUUGCAGUCACAUGCUAUAUAGUCAAAAGAGCGCUGAAAUGUAACUGUCUGAGCUUAUAGUGGACAGACUGAAUUUGCUUGGCUGGUCCUGGUGACAUCAUGGGUAGGCCAGACAAGCGUGUUAUUUGGUGGUAGGUAAUGAUGGAACCUGUGGAAAAGAGAAAGGUGGGUGACUUACAUCGGGAGGUGAGGUGCAGUUGUUGAGCUGGGAUUUAAAUUCCGACAUGUUAGUGAUGAAAGAAUAGUCCCAAUCGAUGAAUCUAGCAGGUAUGUUCUGGAUCGAUUCAAACGUGUUGAAUAAAUUUGUGUUUUAUGGGUUGUACAACAAACAUGCACAAUCAAGUGUAGGUUUGACAAGGGUAUUGUGAGUGAGUAGCUUUAAGUGGAGCAAUUCCUAUUUGCCACAUAACAAACCAAGAGUACAAGCAGCAGAAUUAGUAAUCCAAAUGAUAUGAUGAGGCCAAGUUAAAUCAUGGGAGAUAUGAAUGCAUCAGCAUCAAGCACAGUGUCGCUGAGAAAGUAAGUAGCAGGUAUAUAGUUACGUCGAUGGUGAAAUGAGUUUAGUAUUGUUUUGUUAAGAUAAAGUCGCAUAAGCCAUUAAUGGAGCAGACUUGGAUUAGUUGCAAGUCAUGCUGAAGGAUGGAAACGUCAAUGGAAGUAGCGAUAGUUGAGUAUAUUCGACAGUCGUCAGCAGACUGUCUUCAUCUAAAGCAUUUAUGGGAUGUUAGUCCCUGAAUAACAGUAUAAGGGCUUUUUGAUGUAACAUUGAUAGCUCUAGUGGGGCAUCGUGGAGCAAUAGCACAAAGCAAGUGUAUUGUGGUGGGACAGCACACUCACUGCAUAUCCAAGGGAAGCUAUAUGUUCUUUGGUGUGCAUUUUAGAUUACAUUUCUCAGCAAUAAAAGCUCCCAAACCUCCAGAAUCGUUAGACCUGUACCUGCGAAACAUGUCAGAAUUAGUAAAAUAGGGCAGAUAGAGGGACAAGAAAUUUAAUGAGAGAAAAAGUGGAAAGGUUGGCCGAAGGAGAGUGUCCUUGGCCUGUUACUCCACACCGAGCUAAAGAGGAAGUGUAAAAACGAGAUUCCUGAAUUAUUGAUGGUCUAGUUACACCAGGGUUCAGUUAGCACAUUUCUUUGUAAACAAAAAGUAAACCACACAAGGACUGUAAAUAUUAAGUCAGCUCGAAAGUUAUUAUUGAAGUGCACAGACCUCACGAUUUUCAAAAUUUUCCUAGAAUUUCUGAUGUGUAACCUAGCCCAUUCUUGGGCCACUGGGUAUGUGCCAUGGACACAUGGGCAGAUUUAAGCCUUUUUAUGCUCGUGAAAUUCUUGUUUUUUAGGUGGUUUUUAUCAUUAGUCUUUGUAUAACUUUGUGCCCUGUUAUCAUUUUUCUUUUCAUUCUGCUUAACUUCUGUUUGCAAGAGCCUUGUUCAUUCUUUUUUCUGAUAUUGUUUGUUAAGUGUUGCAUAAUGUUGUGCCAUUCCUACUUUUGUAACUAAAUUUUUUUACUUAAUACUACAACCUUGCAGCCUGUGAGGUAUAUAUAUGAAUAGAUAAAUAAAUACAUAAGCACAUGUCACUCAUUACUCUGCAUACACCUCUCACCAUCCCUCCCUUAACAAACAUCACUGUGUUGAUUUCUCGCAGUGUGCAUCCAGAUUAACUGCCCUUUGCAUUUUGAUAUAGUUUGUGACCUAUGCGGUGCAUAAACAAACCUUGCAAAUGAUUACAUGUUGGAUUGUUGGAAAUAACACAAUCGUAUCGCAGUUACCUUAACAGAAUUUAAUUGACCACUAGAUAAAAACGUCACUUUGCAUAGAUUCCAACAAGUGCACUAAAUCUGCAUGUUUUUGCUAAUUAAUGUGGUCAUUACUGCACGGGCACAUCUUGUAGAUUUGAAAACAAUGUUGGAUAAAUUACUUUGGUGCAACAUAUUUAAAAAAUGCAUACAUCACUGCGAUUGCAACACCAGAACAUGAUAGAAACACAAGCACACUAUAGGAUGCGGACAAAAUCCACAAUGUUUGGAUCAUGAAGCUUAUGAAAGAGCAGUUUCAUUCCAACACUGUUAACGAGAGGGAGAAAGAAAACUUAAUCUUGUUCAAGUAAAAAAUUGCAUGGAU